rnacentral:lncRNA from 1 species
CAUGCACUAGUUGGCUACUCAAACCCACAAACGAUGAAAGUUGGAGACCUUCUCAAACAACAACUGAUCACUGUUCUUAUCGACAUGGGUAGUAGUAAUAACUUCCUAAACAGAAAGUUUACUAUUUAUAUGGUUUUACCUAUGAAGAAUUACAACAGGUUUGACAUUAAGGUAGCCGACGGAUGGAUUUUGAAGUAUGAUCGUAGGCGCCCAUGAGUAAAAUUGUUGCUGCAAGAUCAAG